UACGUAGGGGGCUAGCGUUGUCCGGAAUUAUUGGGCGUAAAGGGCGCGUAGGCGGCUAGAUGUGUCAAAGGUGAAAUCCCUCGGCUCAACUGAGGAACUGCCUUUGAAACUGUCUGGCUUGAGGCCGGGAGAGGGUAGCGGAAUUCCCAGUGUAGCGGUGAAAUGCGUAGAUAUUGGGAGGAACACCAGUGGCGAAGGCGGCUACCUGGACCGGUUCUGAUGCUGAGGCGCGAAAGCGUGGGUAGCAAACAGG
rnacentral:rRNA from 1 species